rnacentral:rRNA from 1 species
UACGUAGGGGCCGAGCGUUGUCCGGAGUUACUGGGCGUAAAGAGCUCGUAGGCGGCUUGUCACGUCGGGUGUGAAAGACCGGGGCUUAACCCCGGUUCUGCAUUCGAUACGGGCUGGCUAGAGUGUGGUAGGGGAGAUCGGAAUUCCUGGUGUAGCGGUGAAAUGCGCAGAUAUCAGGAGGAACACCGGUGGCGAAGGCGGUUCUCUGGGCAUGUCCUGACGCUGAGGAGCGAAAGCGUGGGGAGCGAACAGG